rnacentral:rRNA from 1 species
CCUACGGGGUGCAGCAGUGGGGCAUAUUGCACAAUGGGGGACCCCCUGAUGCCGCGACGCCGCGGGAGCGAAGAAGUAUUUCGGUAUGUAAAGCUCUAUCAGCAGGGAAGAAAAUGACGUUACCUGAGUAAGAAGCUCCGGCUAAAUACGUGCCAGCAGCCGCGGUAAUACGUAUGGAGCAAGCGUUAUCCGGAUUUACUGGGCGUAAAGGGAGCGUAGGCGGCCUGCCAAGUCUGAUGUGAAAUACCGGGGCUCAACCCCGGGGCUGCAGUGGAAACUGGCAGGCUGGAGUGCCGGAGAGGCAGGCGGAAUUCCUAGGGUAGCGGUGAAAUGCGGAGAUAUUAGGAGGAACACCAGUGGCGAAGGCGGACUGCUGGACGGUGACUGACGCUGAGGCUCGAAAGCGUGGGGAGCAAACAGGAUUAGAUACCCGUGUAGUC